rnacentral:lncRNA from 1 species
AAAUAGCAAAGAGCAAUAAAAAUAAAAAUGACUGAAAACUGAGUAAAUGAAUCUGAACAGUACAGCUCAACAAAAAUACGUUUUCUACCUCAUAUUAACUUCUUUCAAAGUGCUGGUUCACAGAUGAUACUGGUAUGGAAGAAGUGGUUGAUAUUCUGCAGAGCAGAGCUGUCAUUCAGAGAAAGCUCAACCAGAUGAAGGAAUAUGCUUGUGAAUCCUCAAGAAAUUCAGCAAAGCAAGAGGUAUUAUGGAAAAUAAUCUUAUAAACAGAGAAG